rnacentral:rRNA from 1 species
UAAUACAGAGGGUGCGAGCGUUAAUCGGAAUUACUGGGCGUAAAGGGUGCGUAGGUGGUUACGUAAGUUAGAUGUGAAAGCCCUGGGCUUAACCUGGGAAUUGCGUUUGAUACUGCGUGGCUAGAGUAUUGUAGAGGAAAGUGGAAUUUCCGGUGUAGCGGUGAAAUGCGUAGAUAUCGGAAGGAACAUCAGUGGCGAAGGCGACUUUCUGGACAAAUACUGACACUGAGGCACGAAAGCGUGGGGAGCAAACAGGAUUAGAUACCCUGGUAGUCCAUGCUGUAAACGAUGAGAACUGGCUGUUGGGUGCCUAAGGGCACUUAGUAGCGAAGCUAACGCGUUAAGUUCUCCGCCUGGGGAGUACGGCCGCAAGGUUA